CGAAAACUUAACGAAAGGACGGUACC
rnacentral:rasiRNA from 1 species